ACGUUUUCAGUAGAGACUGUCGCUCUUCAAGCUUCAUGAGUUUCUCCAACCCUCUUGCAACCAUUUCCAUCUCAGCCUGAGGAUUAGUAAACAAGAGAGGCAGUUUUGUGAAAACCAUGGAAGAGAUUUAUGGAGAAAAAAAUCUUCAACUUGUAAAGAAACAAAAGCACAUACAGAGUACUCGUUGGGAGGAAAUAUGCGAUGAAUGAGGCAUAUUUUCGACAGCUCUGCCACCGAUUCAGAAUGUUUACCUUGUAUUUCCAAAGCCUGCAGUAACAUCGAAUUUGCUUAGAAUAAAAAUUAGGACAAAGAGUAAGCAAUACUGCAGUAAAUAUACACAAGAAGAAGGCUAGAAACGCACCCAAGCUUGUAGAAACCAUGAACGUGUGCGUGCUGCAACUGCUGCAGAAACCAUUCUAGCAGCAUCUAUCUUUGCAAGUCCAAUGUUCUCAGCGAGCCCAGCAAUGAACUCUCGGGCAUCUUCACUACAAAUCUCAACAGAAGAAGACUCCCACGGAGCUCUACACGAGAGUUACCAAACAAGUUCAGAAUUAUACCAAAAGCCAAACCAGUAGAAUCUACUUAACAAGUAAAGGUCAAUAGAUAGAAACCUGCUGCAAGCGUUCAGGACAAAAUCAAUAGAUGUUCUGUAAAAGGAAUCUCCUGUAUUUUUUGGCUCAAAAGUGACUUGUACUCCAGAAAUUCUACAUACUCUACGCAGCUGUAUAUAAUUUCAUAGCAACAAAGAAAGAUAAAAAUCCAAUUAAUUCAAAUCCAUUCAA